GCAAUAUAUUAUGCAACAAGUGGUGACUCCUAGGAGACUUCCAGCAGAUCUUUUCUUUCCUUGGUUCAGAAGCAGCUCAUCCUAACAGUUUCUCGUCAGUGUUCUUUAUUUGAAAAAGGAAUUUCUACUUGUUUUGGAUGAAGUAAAAAUAUCUGAGACUUGCUUUGAGAGAGAAAUCACAACUAGGCAGAGAGGCAGGCAGAGAGAGAAGGAAGCAGGUUCCCUGCUGAGCAGAGAGCCCGAUGCGGGGCUCGAUCCCAGGACCCUGNNNNNNNNN
rnacentral:lncRNA from 1 species